UGGGGAAUAUUGGACAAUGGGCGAAAGCCUGAUCCAGCCAUGCCGCGUGUGUGAAGAAGGUCUUCGGAUUGUAAAGCACUUUAAGUUGGGAGGAAGGGCAGUAAGCGAAUACCUUGCUGUUUUGACGUUACCGACAGAAUAAGCACCGGCUAACUCUGUGCCAGCAGCCGCGGUAAUACAGAGGGUGCAAGCGUUAAUCGGAAUUACUGGGCGUAAAGCGCGCGUAGGUGGUUCGUUAAGUUGAAUGUUAAAGCCCCGGGCUCAACCUGGGAACUGCCUCCACAACUGGCGAGCUAGAGUACGGCAGCGGGUGAUGGAAUUUCCUGUGUAGCGGUGAAAUGCGUAGAUAUAGGAAGGAACACCAGUGGCGAAGGCGACCACCUGGGCUCAUACUGACACUGAGGUGCGAAAGCGUGGGGAGCAAACAGG
rnacentral:rRNA from 1 species